rnacentral:rRNA from 1 species
AUUGAACGCUGGCGGAAUGCUUUACACAUGCAAGUCGAACGGCAGCACGGGGCAACCUGGUGGCGAGUGGCGAACGGGUGAGUAAUACAUCGGAACGUGCCCAAUCGUGGGGGAUAACGUAGCGAAAGUUACGCUAAUACCGCAUACGAUCUACGGAUGAAAGCGGGGGAUCGCAAGACCUCGCGCGAAUGGAGCGGCCGAUGUCAGAUUAGGUAGUUGGUGGGGUAAAGGCUCACCAAGCCGACGAUCUGUAGCUGGUCUGAGAGGACGACCAGCCACACUGGGACUGAGACACGGCCCAGACUCCUACGGGAGGCAGCAGUGGGGAAUUUUGGGACAAUGGGCGCAAGCCUGAUCCAGCCAUUCCGCGUGCAGGAUGAAGGCCUUCGGGUUGUAACUAGCUUUUGUACGGUAACGAAACGGGUUACUCUCUAAUACAGGGGCGUAAUGACGGUACCGUAAGAAUAAG